rnacentral:rRNA from 1 species
AUUGAACGCUGGCGGAAUGCUUUACACAUGCAAGUCGAACGGCAGCACGGGCCUCGGUCUGGUGGCGAGUGGCGAACGGGUGAGUAAUGUAUCAGAACGUGCCCAGUCGUGGGGGAUAACGUAGUGAAAAUUACGCUAAUACCGCAUACGAUCUAUGGAUGAAAGCGGGGGAUCGCAAGACCUCGCGCGAUUGGAGCGGCCGAUAUCAGAUUAGGUAGUUGGUGGGGUAAAGGCCCACCAAGCCAACGAUCUGUAGCUGGUCUGAGAGGACGACCAGCCACACUGGAACUGAGACACGGUCCAGACUCCUACGGGAGGCAGCAGUGGGGAAUUUUGGACAAUGGGCGAAAGCCUGAUCCAGCCAUUCCGCGUGCAGGAUGAAGGCCCUCGGGUUGUAAACUGCUUUUGUACAGAACGAAAAGGUUUCUACUAAUACUAGGAGCUCAUGACGGUACUGUAAGAAUAAGCACCGGCUAACUACGUGCCAGCAGCCGCUGUAA